rnacentral:tRNA from 1 species
GACAUGAUAAGCUAAAUUAAGCUAGUGGGCUCAUGACUCAAAAAUAAUUAAUAUUUAUUGUCA